rnacentral:tRNA from 1 species
GGUCCGUUGGUCGAGUGGUCAAAACGCCUCUCCGUCACGGAGGAGAUCAGGGGUUCGAUCCCCCUACGGACCG